rnacentral:rRNA from 1 species
ACGGUCAUACCAUGCUGAAUAUAGCGGAUUCUCGUUAGAUCACCGAAGUCAAGCAUCAUUGGGCGCGGCCAGUACUUGGUGGGGACCACCAAAUGGAACACCGCGUGCCGUU